rnacentral:rRNA from 1 species
GAUGAACGCUGGCGGCGUGCCUAAUACAUGCAAGUCGAGCGAACGGACGAGAAGCUUGCUUCUCUGAUGUUAGCGGCGGACGGGUGAGUAACACGUGGAUAACCUACCUAUAAGACUGGGAUAACUUCGGGAAACCGGAGCUAAUACCGGAUAAUAUUUUGAACCGCAUGGUUCAAAAGUGAAAGACGGUCUUGCUGUCACUUAUAGAUGGAUCCGCGCUGCAUUAGCUAGUUGGUAAGGUAACGGCUUACCAAGGCAACGAUGCAUAGCCGACCUGAGAGGGUGAUCGGCCCCACUGGAACUGAGACACGGUCCAGACUCCUACGGGAGGCAGCAGUAGGGAAUCUUCCGCAAUGGGCGAAAGCCUGACGGAGCAACGCCGCGUGAGUGAUGAAGGUCUUCGGAUCGUAAAACUCUGUUAUUAGGGAAGAACAUAUGUGUAAGUAACUGUGCACGUCUUGACGGUACCUAAUCAGAAAGCCACGGCUAACUACGUG